GGGAAGAAAGGGAUACGGAUUAUUGGGCGUAAGCGCGCGCAGGCGGUUUCUUAAGUCUGAUGUGAAAGCCCACGGCUCAACCGUGGAGGGUCAUUGGAAACUGGGGAACUUGAGUGCAGAAGAGAAAAGCGGAAUUCCACGUGUAGCGGUGAAAUGCGUAGAGAUGUGGAGGAACACCAGUGGCGAAGGCGGCUUUUUGGUCUGUAACUGACGCUGAGGCGCGAAAGCGUGGGGAGCAAACAGGAUUAGAUACCCUGGUAGUCCACGCCGUAAACGAUGAGUGCUAAGUGUUAGAGGGUUUCCGCCCUUUAGUGCUGCAGCUAACGCAUUAAGCACUCCGCCUGGGGAGUACGGUCGCAAGACUGAAACUCAAAGGAAUUGACGGGGGCCCGCACAAGCGGUGGAACAUGUGGUUUAAUUCGAAGCAACGCGAAGAACCUUACGAGGUCUUGAUGUCUUUUUCCAGCUCCGGGGAAA
rnacentral:rRNA from 1 species